rnacentral:rRNA from 1 species
GAUGAACGCUGGCGGCGUGCCUAAUACAUGCAAGUCGAGCGAACGGACGAGAAGCUUGCUUCUCUGAUGUUAGCGGCGGACGGGUGAGUAACACGUGGAUAACCUACCUAUAAGACUGGGAUAACUUCGGGAAACCGGAGCUAAUACCGGAUAAUAUUUUGAACCGCAUGGUUCAAAAGUGAAAGACGGUCUUGCUGUCACUUAUAGAUGGAUCCGCGCUGCAUUAGCUAGUUGGUAAGGUAACGGCUUACCAAGGCAACGAUGCAUAGCCGACCUGAGGGGGUGAUCGGCCACACUGGAACUGAGACACGGUCCAGACUCCUACGGGAGGCAGCAGUAGGGAAUCUUCCGCAAUGGGCGAAAGCCUGACGGAGCAACGCCGCGUGAGUGAUGAAGGUCUUCGGAUCGUAAAACUCUGUUAUUAGGGAAGAACAUAUGUGUAAGUAACUGUGCACAUCUUGACGGUACCUAAUCAGAAAGCCACGGCUAACUACGUGCCAGCAGCCGCGGUAAUACGUAGGUGGCAAGCGUUAUCCGGAAUUAUUGGGCGUAAAGCGCGCGUAGGCGGUUUUUUAAGUCUGAUGUGAAAGCCCACGGCUCAACCGUGGAGGGUCAUUGGAAACUGGAAAACUUGAGUGCAGAAGAGGAAAGUGGAAUUCCAUGUGUAGCGGUGAAAUGCGCAGAGAUAUGGAGGAACACCAGUGGCGAAGGCGACUUUCUGGUCUGUAACUGACGCUGAUGUGCGAAAGCGUGGGGAUCAAACAGGAUUAGAUACCCUGGUAGUCCACGCCGUAAACGAUGAGUGCUAAGUGUUAGGGGGUUUCCGCCCCUUAGUGCUGCAGCUAACGCAUUAAGCACUCCGCCUGGGGAGUACGACCGCAAGGUUGAAACUCAAAGGAAUUGACGGGGACCCGCACAAGCGGUGGAGCAUGUGGUUUAAUUCGAAGCAACGCGAAGAACCUUACCAAAUCUUGACAUCCUUUGACGACUCUAGAGAUAGAGCUUUCCCCUUCGGGGGACAAAGUGACAGGUGGUGCAUGGUUGUCGUCAGCUCGUGUCGUGAGAUGUUGGGUUAAGUCCCGCAACGAGCGCAACCCUUAAGCUUAGUUGCCAUCAUUAAGUUGGGCACUCUAAGUUGACUGCCGGUGACAAACCGGAGGAAGGUGGGGAUGACGUCAAAUCAUCAUGCCCCUUAUGAUUUGGGCUACACACGUGCUACAAUGGACAAUACAAAGGGCAGCGAAACCGCGAGGUCAAGCAAAUCCCAUAAAGUUGUUCUCAGUUCGGAUUGUAGUCUGCAACUCGACUACAUGAAGCUGGAAUCGCUAGUAAUCGUAGAUCAGCAUGCUACGGUGAAUACGUUCCCGGGUCU